rnacentral:sRNA from 1 species
AAAACCGAUGUAAAUGCACAAAACCGCAAAAUAUCUGUAUAUUAUCGGUGGAUGUGCCCUGGCGGCCGAACGGGAACCAAUUCGACAAAUCGAGAGAAUCCACGUGGAAAAAGCCGGCGAUUCGUGGGUGUUUUCUGUUAAAAAUCUAAAAUUUACUCUAGAAAUUUCAGCGUGAACGUGAUCUCUGAAAAUUGUGGGCAAUUAACGAUUGCAAGACGAUCUCCCGCGUGCUUUUUGGCUGGAAACCAACGAAUUUUGGUCGCCGGAGGAUGUUCGGCUCCGAAUGAGCAUACGGAUUCAAUGGAAAUGCUCGAGAUUUCGGAAAUUGGAGAGAUUCGAUCGAUUUUUUUGGAUGAAAAGUUGGAGAUUGGCGCGAGUUGUUCAGGAUUCGAUUGGGAUACUCAUUCGG